GACGUAGGGUGCAAGCGUUGUCCGGAUUUAUUGGGCGUAAAGAGCUCGUAGGCGGUUCGUUGCGUCAGCUGUGAAAACCCACGGCUUAACCGUGGGCCUGCAGCUGAUACGGGCGGACUAGAGUUCGGUAGGGGAGACUGGAAUUCCUGGUGUAGCGGUGAAAUGCGCAGAUAUCAGGAGGAACACCGGUGGCGAAGGCGGGUCUCUGGGCCGAUACUGACGCUGAGGAGCGAAAGCGUGGGGAGCGAACAGG
rnacentral:rRNA from 1 species